rfam:Strigamia maritima strain Brora ctg7180001233643, whole genome shotgun sequence.
GGGGGCGUAGCUCAAAUGGUAGAGUGCUCGCUUAGCAUGCGAGUGGUACCAGGAUCGAUACCUGGCGCCUCCA